rnacentral:rRNA from 1 species
AGAGCGAACGCUGGCGGCAGGCCUAAUACAUGCAAGUCGAACGGACCCCUCGGGGUUAGUGGCGGACGGGUGAGUAACACGUGGGAACGUGCCCUUUGGUUCAGAACAACUCAGGGAAACUUGAGCUAAUACUGAAUGUGCCCUUCGGGGGAAAGAUUUAUCGCCAUUGGAGCGGCCCGCGUCUGAUUAGCUAGUUGGUAGGGUAAAGGCCUACCAAGGCUACGAUCAGUAGCUGGUCUGAGAGGAUGAUCAGCCACACUGGGACUGAGACACGGCCCAGACUCCUACGGGAGGCAGCAGUAGGGAAUCUGCGCAAUGGGCGAAAGCCUGACGCAGCCAUGCCGCGUGAAUGAUGAAGGUCUUAGGAUUGUAAAAUUCUUUCAGUCGGGGACGAUAAUGACGGUACCCGCAGAAGAAGCCCCGGCUAACUUCGCGCCAGCAGCCGC